UACGUAGGGUGCGAGCGUUAAUCGGAAUUACUGGGCGUAAAGCGUGCGCAGGCGGUUUGACAAGUCUGAUGUGAAAGCCCCGGGCUCAACCUGGGAACUGCGUUGGAAACUGUCAGGCUAGAGUGUGUCAGAGGGAGGUAGAAUUCCACGUGUAGCAGUGAAAUGCGUAGAGAUGUGGAGGAAUACCGAUGGCGAAGGCAGCCUCCUGGGAUAACACUGACGCUCAUGCACGAAAGCGUGGGGAG
rnacentral:rRNA from 1 species